rnacentral:lncRNA from 1 species
GUCAGCGGUCCACUACGGACUUCAAAAUCUGGAUUACCUCAUUUAACUCACUCAAUGGCUCAAUCCUUUGUUGGAUCUUCAUGCUUCAUUGAUUCUGUUAUCGGAAUUGUUUCAGUGGACCGACCACUUCCUGAGUUCAAGACCAACUCCUUUCAAAAUCAACUCAUACCUAAAUUCACUACUUCUGCUGUUGAAUUUAUCUCACAUUCUGUUGAACAUAAGCAC